rnacentral:rRNA from 1 species
AGGGUUUGAUUCUGGCUCAGGAUGAACGCUAGCGGCAGGCUUAACACAUGCAAGUCGAGGGGCAGCGCGGGGCGGCAACGUCCUGGCGGCGACCGGCGGAAGGGUGCGUAACGCGUGAGCGACAUGCCCGUUGCCCGGGGACAACCGGUGGAAACGCCGACUAAUCCCCGAUGUGAUACGAUGCCUCAUGGCAUGGUAUUGAAAGUUACGGCGGCGACGGAUUGGCUCGCGUCCGAUUAGCUAGUUGGCGGGGUAACGGCCCACCAAGGCUACGAUCGGUAGGGGUUCUGAGAGGAAGGUCCCCCACAAUGGAACUGAGACACGGUCCAU